rnacentral:rRNA from 1 species
AUUGAACGCUGUCGGCAGGCCUAACACAUGCAAGUCGAACGAGUGGCGGACGGGUGAGUAAUGUCUGGGAAACCGCACGAUGGAGGGGGAUAACUACUGGAAACGGCAGCUAAUACCGCAGUCCAUCGGAUGAGCCCAGAUUGUAUCAGCUAGUCGGUGGGGUAACGGCCCACCUAGGCGACGAUCCCUAGCUGGGCUGAGAAGAUGACCAGCCACACUGGAACUGAGACACGUACCAGACUCCUAAGGGAGGCAGCAGGGGGGAAUAUUGCACAAUGGGCGCAAGCCUGAUGCAGCCAGGCCGCGAGUAUGAAGAAGGCCUUCGGGUUGUAAAGUACUUUCCGCGAGGAGGCGUUACUCGCAGAAGAAGCACCGGCUAACUCCGUGCCAGCAGCCGCGGUAAUUC